rnacentral:rRNA from 1 species
CCUACGGGCGGCUGCAGUAGGGAAUCUUCCACAAUGGGCGAAAGCCUGAUGGAGCAACGCCGCGUGGGUGAAGAAGGUCUUCGGAUCGUAAAACCCUGUUGUUAGAGAAGAAAGUGCGUGAGAGUAACUGUUCACGUUUCGACGGUAUCUAACCAGAAAGCCACGGCUAACUACGUGCCAGCAGCCGCGGUAAUACGUAGGUGGCAAGCGUUAUCCGGAUUUAUUGGGCGUAAGGGGAACGCAGGCGGUCUGUUAAGUCUGAUGUGAAAGCCUUCGGCUUAACCGGAGUAGUGCAUUGGAAACUGGGAGGCUUGAGUGCAGAAGAGGAGAGUGGAACUCGAGGUGUAGCGGUGAAGUGCGUAGAGAGAUGGAAGAAGACCAGUGGCGAGAGCGGCUCUCUGGUCUGUAACUGACGCUGAGGUUCGAAAGCGUGGGUAGCAAACAGGAUUAGAUACCCGAGUAGUG